GUGCCAGCCGCCGCGGUAAUACCGGCAGCUCAAGUGAUGACCGAUAGUAUUGGGCCUAAAGCGUCCGUAGCCGGCCAUGAAGGUUCAUCGGGAAAUCCGCCAGCUCAACUGGCGGGCGUCCGGUGAAAACCACAUGGCUUGGGACCGGAAGGCUCGAGGGGUACGUCCGGGGUAGGAGUGAAAUCCCGUAAUCCUGGACGGACCACCGAUGGCGAAAGCACCUCGAGAAGACGGAUCCGACGGUGAGGGACGAAAGCUAGGGUCUCGAACCGGAUUAGAUACCCUAGUAGUCCGGCAA
rnacentral:rRNA from 1 species